rnacentral:rRNA from 1 species
UACAGAGGUGGCAAGCGUUGUUCGGAAUUACUGGGCGUAAAGGGCGCGUAGGCGGCCUGCUAAGUCGAACGUGAAUCCCGGCCGUCACCACGGGAACUGCGUCCGAUACUGGCAGGCUUGAAUUCGGGAGAGGGAUGCGGAAUUCCAGGUGUAGCGGUGAAAUGCGUAGAUAUCUGGAGGAACACCGGUGGCGAAGGCGGCAUCCUGGACCGAAAUUGACGCUGAGGCGCGAAAGCCAGGGGAGCAAACGGG